AGAAGGCAGCAGUGGGGAAUAUUGGGCAAUGGGCGCAAGCCUGACCCAGCAACGCCGCGUGAAGGAAGAAGGCUUUCGGGUUGUAAACUUCUUUUAUAAGGGACGAAGAAAGUGACGGUACCUUAUGAACAAGCCACGGCUAACUACGUGCCAGCAGCCGCGGUAAUACGUAGGUGGCAAGCGUUAUCCGGAUUUACUGGGUGUAAAGGGCGUGUAGGCGGGACUGCAAGUCAGAUGUGAAAACCAUGGGCUCAACCUGUGGCCUGCAUUUGAAACUGUAGUUCUUGAGUACUGGAGAGGCAGGCGGAAUUCCGUGUGUAGCGGUGAAAUGCGUAGACAUACGGAGGAACACCAGUGGCGAAGGCGGCCUGCUGGACAGCAACUGACGCUGAGGCGCGAAAGCGUGGGGAGCAAACAGGAUUAGAUACCCUGGUA
rnacentral:rRNA from 1 species